rnacentral:rRNA from 1 species
GAGGGGUAGAGUUAGCUUGCUAACUUGAGACCGGCGCACGGGUGCGUAACGCGUAUGCAAUCUACCUUGUACAGAGGGAUAGCCCAGAGAAAUUUGGAUUAAUACCUCAUAGUAUCUUUACCUGGCAUCGGGUAAUUAUUAAAGUUCCAACGGUACAAGAUGAGCAUGCGUCCCAUUAGUUAGUUGGUAAGGUAACGGCUUACCAAGACAAUGAUGGGUAGGGGUCCUGAGAGGGAGAUCCCCCACACUGGUACUGAGACACGGACCAGACUCCUACGGGAGGCAGCAGUGAGGAAUAUUGGUCAAUGGACGCAAGUCUGAACCAGCCAUGCCGCGUGCAGGAAGACGGUCCUAUGGAUUGUAAACUGCUUUUAUACAGGAAGAAACAACUCUACGUGUAGAGUCUUGACGGUACUGUAGGAAUAAGGAUCGGCUAACUCCGUGCCAGCAGCCGCGGUAAUACGGAGGAUCCAAGCGUUAUCCGGAAUCAUUGGGUUUAAAGGGUCCGUAGGCGGCCUUAUAAGUCAGUGGUGAAAUCUCCUAGCUCAACUAGGAAACUGCCAUUGAUACUGUAGGGCUUGAAUUCUUAUGAAGUAACUAGAAUAUGUA